CGGCAAUAAUAAUAAUAAUAAUAAUAAUAAUAAUAUUAUAUAUUUUUAUUUUUUUUUUUUCUACUCCUAAAUAAUAUUCUCAUGUUAUAUACGUACAUUAUUGUAUUUCGUGUGUGUGUGCGUGUGUGUGUGCGCGCGCGCGCGACGCGCCGC